UACGGAGGGUGCAAGCGUUAUCCGGAUUCACUGGGUUUAAAGGGUGCGUAGGUGGUCUGUUAAGUCAGCGGUGAAAGCCUGGAGCUCAACUCCAGAAUUGCCAUUGAUACUGACGGACUUGAAUCAAGUUGAGGUGGAUGGAAUAUUACAUGUAGCGGUGAAAUGCUUAGAUAUGUAAUAGAACACCAAUUGCGAAGGCAGUUCACUAAGCUUGCAUUGACACUGAGGCACGAAAGCGUGGGGGAGUCAAACAGGA
rnacentral:rRNA from 1 species